rnacentral:rRNA from 1 species
GAUGAACGCUGGCGGCGUGCCUAAUACAUGCAAGUCGAGCGAACAGACGAGGAGCUUUCUCCUCUGACGUUAGCGGCGGACGGGUGAGUAACACGUGGAUAACCUACCUAUACGACUGGGGUAACUUCGGGAAACCGUGGCUAAUACCGGAUAAUAUAUUGAACCGCAUGGUUCAAUAGUGGAAGACGGUUUUGCUUUCGCUUAUAGAUGGAUCCGCGCCGCAUUAGCUAGUUGGUUAGGUAACGGCUUACCAAGGCGACGAUGCGUAGCCGACCUGAGAGGGUGGUCGACCACAAUAGAAGUGAGGCGCGGCCGACACUCCUACGAGGGGCAGCAGUAGGGAGUCAUACGGCAUGAGCGACAGCUUGACGGAGCAACGACGCGUGAGGGAUGAUGGUGUUCGGCUCGUAGAGCACUGUUAUCAGGAGUGAACAAAUGUUUAAGUAACUGUGCACGUCUUGACGGUACCUAGUGAGAAAGCCACGGCUAACUACGUG